rnacentral:rRNA from 1 species
AUACGGAGGGUGCGAGCGUUAAUCGGAAUUACUGGGCGUAAAGCGUACGUAGGCGGUUGGUUAAGUUAGAUGUGAAAGCCCCGGGCUUAACCUGGGAACUGCAUUUAAAACUGGCGAACUAGAGUUGGGUAGAGGGGAGUGGAAUUUCAGGUGUAGCGGUGAAAUGCGUAGAGAUCUGAAGGAACACCAGUGGCGAAGGCGACUCCCUGGACUCGAACUGACGCUGAGGUACGAAAGCGUGGGUAGCAAACGGGAUUAGAAACCCUAGUAGUCC